AUUCUGGAUGCAUCUGUACCUAUCCGGCACAGUGCAUGAAUGAUAACAACCCUCUGUGUUAGCAGUAGGUUGUGGCAUCAACAAUAAAUGAUAGCAUCUGCAUGGAAUUCAUACACUUGUCCUCCCUCCUGCUGUACUUCGUUACUGCAGACCUUGCAAAUACCUUAGGCCAGAUAAAGUCCAGGCUUCAGAGGGAAGAUAUUCAUUUCUUGUUGGGCUUUGUAGUAUGGAGGGAAGCAGUUGCUCCCUGUCACAGAUGUCUACAGAAUCCACAGAUAAGAGGUGACGGAUGACCAAGGUGUGGCACCGCACCCCAUGCAAUUUCUUCUGCAGGUGAGAAGUGCUUUGUCAACAACUGUGAGAAGUAUCUCUUGUCUGAGAGCUUGAACCUGAGAGCAGGCAGGGAAAACAUCAGUUUACUACUGCAACGGGUUCUGAUUUCUCACGUGGAUGUAGGAAUUUAAAUUCCAGGCUGCAGUCGAGCAUCAACACAAGUUUGCCUUCAGAGCUGCCGACGGAGCUCUCGCUGGAGUUUUGCCAGGGAUCAGUCUCCUCUUAAGCCAUGAAUAUGAACAGUUAAGUUCUGCAGCGCAGACAGUGGAGGACAGCCCCGUAUAAAGCUCUGCACAAGGACUGAGCUGGAAAAAAUCAUGCAUGCAGUUGAAUGUUGUAUUUGUGUUGGAGAGGAAUGGUCACAGAUGGCAGAGCAGCGGUGGUAGGCAUGCCGGGAUAACCCCCAUGGGACAGCCCUCUGGAGGUAGGGAUGAGCAGUCCUCUCUCAUGGCCAAAGGUGGGAUCCUUCCUUGGGAAUCAUUCGUCUUGCUGUGAAUCCACAGCACAUAAACAAAGCAAAAAAACCCCAGUAUACCUUGCAGUCCUAAGUGGCUGCCAUAGUCAAGGGAAGAUGCAGAGGACUGCAUUGGAUGUCAUCAGCAUCUAUGAGGUGCCCCUGUGAGCCUGGGUCCAAACUCAUCCUGGAAGCCACAUCAGUGGGGCUGCACAUUGAAUGCUGGAGCAACACUUCCAGGGCUGCACAGCAGUUGAAAAAGGGUGUCAAAGAACUGCACAAUUUCAAACAUGGUCUUCUAGAUCUAACUAGCUCCUAAUUUAAGUGCCUGCGUCAGAUUUACUGAUGAAAGUUAAUCAUAUUGGGAGUUUGUGGUGAGAGUGUUGGUGUGAAUACCAAUAUUGCAAUAAUUAACCUGCAAACUGGAUAACUCAUCUGUAUACUCUGUUUUAGGGGAUCACGAUUUAGAGCUGAGCAACUACAUUUGCAUGACAGCUCUGCCCUUCUGCUAUUGAACAUUCAUUCUGCAGGAGGAAGGGUGCACGGUUUGGUUUGAAAAUGGAGCGGCUUUGAGCCAAAUGAGACACUGUGAUGUGUGCCAAGCUUGGACGGCUUGGUGGAAUUAGUAAGGUGAGAAUGACAAAAAUAGCCUGCAAUAUUUUGAAAUGGGAAACUUUCUGAGAGCUGCCAAACCUCUCAUCUCUACUGUUGAGUCAGUCACAAAUUGCAUUUAUGUUGCACCCUGCAGAGCUCGCUGUCUAAAUCUGCAAUAAAACUUGGGGAAGUGCUCAGUGGCCACUGAGCGGAGCACGUAUCAGCCAGACCCAUCAGCCCAAAUGUCUUUUUGUCUCCUCUGGAAAGGAACAAACUCAGCUGGAAAUGCCUAUGGAUAGAACAGGCUUGUCAGUGUCAGACAGUGUCAGAAAUCUCUUGACCACGAUGCUGAGAAAUGGUGAGAGUGCUUAAGAGGAGAGCAGCACAUUUCAGAACUUAGAGGUGUGUGAAUUGGAGCGCCCAAUGGGGUGCUGGUCUGCUGAAGCUAAGGCUGUUGUGUCCAAGUGUAUGGGAACUGCUGAGUCAGGGCCUGAAGCAGUGAUGGAGCACCUGGGGAAAGGACCUGGUCAGCCCUGGGAGCACAGGUGAAGGCAAUGCAGCUGUGUGAUAGGAAGGGGUGUAGCCUGGCUGCACCUCUCUUAGACCUUAUUUAAGGGCUGACUGCCCCUGGGGAAGGGUCUCUUUCUGGGGAUCCCUCUUUGGUGGAGCUUUCUGCUGUGAAGCUGGAAUCUUCUGAUAUGGGUGAGCAAUCUUCUUCCCUUCCUUUGUAGCACUUCUCUGUUGUGUCAGUCCUUUUGUCGUUACACCUUUGUUGUAAUGCCUUUCCCAUUGUAUUGAUCUGUCCAAUUGCUACACCAAGUGACAUGCAAAGACAAGUAUUUACAAGCUCAUUGUAUCACUUCCCCAGUGCUAAAGACUUGUAGGUGUGCAUGAUGUUAUGAAAAGCUACAUACCCCACUGGGCUUUAUGAGGUUCACCACAAUGAUCUUAAAGACCUCAGCCUUUUCUUCACUUGGUUUUUGCUGCUGAUUUCUGUCUCAGGAUACCGCCCAUUGAAAGUGGACUUGGGACCCUGUGAUUUCAGAACCUUUGUGCAGACAUCUGCCUUGGCUGCUGGACGGGACACUCAACAUUACAGUGCUGCUUUGCCUCACUUUACCUUCCUCGAAUCAAAUGUCUUUUUGUGCUGAGUGUCUUCACUGGGCUUUUGGCAGGCUUCCUUGUCAUUAGGUUGUGUGGCAGACAGCAUUCCUGCAGAGUCAGGGCCAGACUCUCAGCCAGGGCCCUUGGGUCUCCUCCCAUUCUCCACCUUUCAUAGAGUAAGGAAAAGUGACCUGGUGAAAGCAGUGGUCUCAACACAGGAGACAAUCUGUUGAAGGGAUCCCUUAAGUGGCUGCCAUUUACUUAUUUAAGGACUGAAAUAGAUAUCUUUCAGCUUCUGUCUUGAGUAGAGUUGGUGCCAGUGGCUGACAUCUGACAUCCAAAGCCCAAGGCGAUGGGCACGUGGUGAAGGUGAUGACCUACUUAUGGCUGCAUCAGCAGGGAAGAGAAUGAACGCUAUAAGAGAAGUGGACCAUUCAUUGACAUCAGAGCCCAGAUAUGAUGGCAACUAGCUUUCAAGUAUGGGUUGUUUGUAUCCAGAGAGAGAAACUGCACCUUUCCUGAUGGGGUAGGUGAGGCUGCCAUACUGCUCGCAGUGGUUGUGUUUUGUGUGGAUGGAGUGAGGUUGGUAGGCAUCAAGAAGAGCUUCAGGUUGGAUAUUGUGAAAAAUAUCUCUGAAAGAGUGGUCAGGCAGUGAAAUGGGCUGCCUGGGGGGGUAGUUGGCUCACUGUCCCUGGAGACAUUCAAGAAAUAUUUAGAUUUGGUGCUAAGGGAUAUGGUUUAGUGGGGUUACAUGGGUGGUAGGUGGGUGGUUGGACUGGAUGAUCUUGGAGGUCUUCUCCAAUCUUAGUGAGUCUACGAUUCUCCUCCUCAGAGCAGCAGGUUCUUAUGCUUAUAUGGUGUUUUGUGAGGAGGAUCAGGGUGUAAGCUGCCUAAUAUGCGUGCUCUCUCUUUAGAAAAUAGCAUAUUUGAAUUAGAACUGUUUAAUGUUCAAAUAAAUCAUGUCUUAUUAUUAUUACUACUAGGAUUCUAUAGCAACUCAUGGGUGUUACAGUUUUACUUCUCUUUUCAUACAAUUGUAGACUCUUAGUAUCAUUAAAAUUGGAAAAGAACCCUAAGAUCACUGAGCCCAACCCCAGCCCACCCCUGCUGUGCCCACAUCCCUCAGUGCCACAUCCCCACAGUUCUGGAGCACCUCUAGGGAUGGUGAUUCCAACACCUCUCUAGGCAAACUUCUGUUGUUCCUUGUAAGCCUUUCCACCUCUAGAGAGAGCCACAGGGAUGCUCAUUGUGCAGCUUCCAUUUCACCAAGGUUGUAGUCUCAUCCCCACAAUGGCUGGGGGAUUUGGUUGAAGAUAUAUUUAAAGGUAAAACAAUUACUGAACCCAUUGGCAGUAAGAGGCUUCCUCACCACGUCCCCAUCCCAUAAUACACAGCUCAGAGUAAGAAAGGUCACAGAUACCCAUUGCUCAUCGCAAUAAACCUAACAAAUAAUUGGCUGGGAGUAAUGGGAUGAAAAUGAGAGGAAGGGAUAGUUAAGCUGACUGCCGGGGAAGCUUUCCCUAGAGAUCAAUUUUACAGGGGAAGAAGUUCUGGGACAGAGAUGAUUGAAACUUCACAUGUUCAGAGAUGAUCUGGGAAAAUAAUGGAGUUACGGUGUGUGUCAGUGACCCAGCCCAGAAAUCCUCCUGAGUUUGCUGGGGAAGGAUUUUUUUUAUUGUUCUUGCACAUCAUAUGGAAAAAAAUAAAUCACGUAGAGUCAGCCUGGCAUGUUUUCAUUAGGCAGAUAAAUACUGUGCUUUAUUGUGGCGCUAUUUACCUGGCUUAUGUGCAUCUUUCUCGCUUGAUGGUGGCCACUUUUACAUAGAAAGAACACAAUUUAAUCUAAAAGGAACAGAAAAACCAACACAAAAUUAAAGUGUUCCUGCGUUUCCGUAGCACAGCGUUUCCAUUUAGAUGCUUUCCAAAUGAAACAGUGGUAUAUUUCCAAUUUCCUCUAUUACUGCGUGCACAGAGCACGAGUUGAAUUCGGUCAGAAAUGAAACGUAGUCUCAUUCACUCUGAAUCUCAGCUUAUUAAUUGCAUCUUCUUUUUCAUCUUCUGUUUUUUUUUGUCUUGCUGUACCUGAGGUGCUUAAAGCCAGACAGAAUUCAGAUGCCAACAGAAAGCUCCAGACUGCCACAGGAGGAGAAGAAAGGAAGACGAGAAGAAAGAAAAUGAGAUGGGAUUUUCCUUAUCUUCCGCUUGCUGUGGGAACUGCUGAGCACAUGCUGGCUGCAGGGGAGACCCCAGAGUGCUUCCUUUCCUUCGUGCUGUGCCCACCAUGUGGAAUACAGAGCCAAUUUAGAUGGCAAUAUGCGCUAAACUGUGCAGGGAGCUGAAGCCGUGUGAGGAGCACAGGGGGCAUACAAAGCAGAGGAUGAGCACAGAUCACAGCAGAGGAAGUUAUCUGGGAUUUCUUCCAUCUUGUGGAGACCCCGUGAUCCGCUUGCCAAUGCCCUGCACUGAACAAAGCUGCUGGCUUUCUGUGGGUGGCAGUGAAGGAACGAUUUUUGCUUCUCUCCUCCCUUCUCACCCCAAGAAAAUAAUGUGUGGAAACACAUCUGAGUCGCAGAAGUCUAAAACUGUCUGGAAAUCCCACCUUCAACCACGUGAACUGCAUUUCACUUUUAUUUCACUUUAUUGGGUCUUCAUUUUAAUAUGAUUAGUUUAUAGGAUUUCUUGACAGAGCAGUAAUAGAAC
ensembl:lncRNA